AGCCUCAAGUGAUGAUUAUUGGAGGUAGAGCACUGUUUGGACGAGGGGCCCCUCUCGGGUUACCGAAUUCAGACAAACUCCGAAUGCCAAUUAAUUUAACUUGGGAGUCAGAACAUGGGUGAUAAGGUCCGUGUUCGAAAGGGAAACAGCCCAGACCACCAGCUAAGGUCCCAAAAUAUAUGUUAAGUGGAAAAGGAUGUGGCGUUGCCCAGACAACUAGGAUGUUGGCUUAGAAGCAGCCAUCAUUUAAAGAGUGCGUAAUAGCUCACUAGUCGAGUGACACUGCGCCGAAAAUGUACCGGGGCUAAACAUAUUACCGAAGCUGUGGAUUGUCCUUUGGACAAUGGUAGGAGAGCGUUCUAAGGGCGUUGAAGCAUGAUCGUAAGGACAUGUGGAGCGCUUAGAAGUGAGAAUGCCGGUGUGAGUAGCGAAAGACGGGUGAGAAUCCCGUCCACCGAUUGACUAAGGUUUCCAGAGGAAGGCUCGUCCGCUCUGGGUUAGUCGGGUCCUAAGCUGAGGCCGACAGGCGUAGGCGAUGGAUAACAGGUUGAUAUUCCUGUACCACCUAUAAGCGGUUGAAUCGAUGGGGGGUCGCAGUAGGAUAGGCGAAGCGUGCGAUUGGAUUGCCCGUCUAAGCAGUAAGGCUGAGUAUUAGGCAAAUCCGGUACUCGUUAAGGCUGAGCUGUGCUGGGGAGAAGACAUUGUGUCUUCGAGUCGUUGAUUUCACACUGCCGAGAAAAGCCUCUAGAUAGAAAAUAGGUGCCCGUACCGCAAACCGACACAGGUAGUCAAGAUGAGAAUUCUAAGGUGAGCGAGCGAACUCUCGUUAAGGAACUCGGCAAAAUGACCCCGUAACUUCGGGAGAAGGGGUGCUCUUUAGGGUUAACGCCCAGAAGAGCCCCAGUGAAUAGGCCCAAGCGACUGUUUAUCAAAAACACAGGUCUCUGCUAAACCGUAAGGCGAUGUAUAGGGGCGGA
rnacentral:rRNA from 1 species